GAAGCUUCUACGGUCAUAUGAAGUUGUUGUAGCAAAGUGAUUUUUUCUUCUUUUUGCUGAUUCGGAGAUGCAUUG